rnacentral:rRNA from 1 species
CAGAUAAGGAGCUUGCUCCUUUGACGUUAGCGGCGGACGGGUGAGUAACACGUGGGUAACCUACCUAUAAGACUGGGAUAACUUCGGGAAACCGGAGCUAAUACCGGAUAACAUUUGGAACCGCAUGGUUCUAAAGUGAAAGAUGGUUUUGCUAUCACUUAUAGAUGGACCCGCGCCGUAUUAGCUAGUUGGUAAGGUAACGGCUUACCAAGGCGACGAUACGUAGCCGACCUGAGAGGGUGAUCGGCCACACUGGAACUGAGACACGGUCCAGACUCCUACGGGAGGCAGCAGUAGGGAAUCUUCCGCAAUGGGCGAAAGCCUGACGGAGCAACGCCGCGUGAGUGAUGAAGGGUUUCGGCUCGUAAAACUCUGUUAUUAGGGAAGAACAAAUGUGUAAGUAACUGUGCACAUCUUGACGGUACCUAAUCAGAAAGCCACGGCUAACUACGUGCCAGCAGCCGCGGUAAUACGUAGGUGGCAAGCGUUAUCCGGAAUUAUUGGGCGUAAAGCGCGCGUAGGCGGUUUCUUAAGUCUGAUGUGAAAGCCCACGGCUCAACCGUGGAGGGUCAUUGGAAACUGGGAAACUUGAGUGCAGAAGAGGAAAGUGGAAUUCCAUGUGUAGCGGUGAAAUGCGCAGAGAUAUGGAGGAACACCAGUGGCGAAGGCGACUUUCUGGUCUGUAACUGACGCUGAUGUGCGAAAGCGUGGGGAUCAAACAGGAUUAGAUACCCUGGUAGUCCACGCCGUAAACGAUGAGUGCUAAGUGUUAGGGGGUUUCCGCCCCUUAGUGCUGCAGCUAACGCAUUAAGCACUCCGCCUGGGGAGUACGACCGCAAGGUUGAAACUCAAAGGAAUUGA